AUGGGGCAGCUAGGGGCUAGCUAUGGGGCAGCUAUGGGGCAGCUAAGGGGUGCUAUGGGGCAGCUAUGGGGGCUGCUAUGGGGCAGCUUAUGGGCAGCUAUGAGGGCUGCUGUGGGGCAGCUAGGGGCAGCUAUGGGGCUUGCUAUGGGGCAGCUCUGGGGGCAGCUAUGGGGCUGCUAUGGGGCAGCUAUGGGGGCAGCUAUGGGGCUGCUAUGGGGCUGCUAUGGGCAGCUAUGGGGCUGCUAUGGGGCUGCUAUGCGGGCAGCUAUUGGGGCUGCUAUGGGGCAGCUAUGGGGCUGCUAUUGGGGCAGCUAUGGGGCUGCUAUGGGGCAGCUCUAUGGGGCUGCUAUGGGGCUGCUAUGGGGCAGCUAUGGGUCUGAUGUGUGUCUCUCUGUCUCUCCCCAUAGCUGGAGGUCCUUUAGCUGUUCUAUGGGGCGGGCUGGGCCCCGAGGCGGGCGCUGCCGUGGGGCUGUGCUCGUUCCUUGGGGCCGCAUUCGCUGCCGCAGCCGCAGCUUUGGGGGCGGCCGAGCUGCUGACGGUGUACGUUCUCCCCCCGUCGGCCAUGUUGCCGCUGUCCCGGCUGAACAGCGGCCGCAGUUACGGCUCCGCCAUGUUGGUUCUAUUGGGGCUGGGGGCGGCCGCCCCACACGGGCCCCACGUGGCCUCAUUGGGCCCCAUUGGGGUGGGGCUGACGCUGCUGGCGCUGCAGGGCGGGGCCAUCAGAGCCGCCAUGACGGGAACCAGGAACGGGCUGUGUCUGCCCCCCCCCAGCUCCCCCCUGGCCCCACUGCAGCCCUGCCCGCCCCAUAGCGACAACAGCAGCAGCUCCACUGCCCCACAACUGGCUGUUCCAGGGCCCAGCACCGACCUGCUGGCACGUGAGUGCUAUGGGGGGGCACCUCUGCCCCAUAACUGCCCCAUAACUGCCCCAUAACCGCCCUAUAACCACCCCAUAACUGCCCCAUAACC
rnacentral:lncRNA from 1 species